ACCAGUGUGGUGUAGUGGUCUGAAUGUUGGAUUAGGACUUUAGAGAUGAGGGUUCAAAUCCCCGCUUGGGCA